rnacentral:piRNA from 1 species
UUCAGGAUCGUUAGAGAGGAAGAGACGAAGC